UUAUCCUUAUUGUAAUUGUAUUCAUAGAGUUUUGAAAAAUUAGAUUAAACAAGUUUCCAACUCAAAGAUUUCUUGUAGCAAAAAUGACAUGAACUAAAUUUUGUACAAGAGACUAUAAAAGUUUGCAACCUAAUACUUAUAAUGUGUGUAUCAACUGUUGAUAUUAUUAUAUCAUAGUGACCUUGUAAGGUUUAGUCGCAUGCUGAGAUUGCUUUAGAUUCUGUAUCUUCUGUUUAGUUAGAGAACUUGCAGUAUCCAUGCCCAUCCUCUUAGCAACUUCCUCCUUCGCUAAAUUCACUGCUUUGUCAUAUGCCUUGAUUAAAGCGCUGUCAUCCCAAACAUCUUCGCUAUCUGUAGUUGUAGUCUUGAGAAAGAGUAAAAAAACAAGAAAUAUUAUAAAUAGACUAUUCAUAGUACUGUUGGUACCGGUACAUUAGUAUUAUAUUAAUUAACUGGCACACUAAAUAAACAUUUGGAGCAUAUACAUACAUUUCCGUUUCCUCGGACGUAAAGAACAUCAGCAGCAUCAUCAUCCAUUUCACUUAAUCGCAUAUAAGAGAAUGAAAAGGAAUAUAAUAACCACACUUGUGAGAUUUAUGUUUCUAUCCUGUCAAUAGAGAUCAUCCAAAGCUACUUAAUUUUGAUCACAGUGAAACUGUGUAAUCGCUAUUGCCAUCAGUUACUACAAUAAACAGAGAUUAAACUAUCAUUUUUUAGUUUUACGUGCGGAAACAAGUUAGUUGCUGUUCUGAGACUUCUUUUAUGUUUACAAUAGUACCUCACCAUAGUACGCCAAGACUGAAUAGGCAGAUAGAGAAACUGCUUGUCCUUUUUUACGAUUGGUUUGAUGCUUCACAGCUAAACAGUGCUGCCCUCGCACUGUUAGGCAAAGAGAGAAAGUGGUGAGUAAGCAAGAGAGCAUGACAUCACAAGCGAAACAAAUCAUACCGACGACCAAUGUAGCUUGUUUCACUUUACAUUCUUGCGAUCUCACUCUAUUUGCGAACGUCUUGAAACGACAAUCAUUUCUACAAUUAUUAAAAUUUUUGAAAACCCAUAAGUUACAUUCGUAGCUAAUGGUUUCUAGUUUAUGAAACUACAGAAUUUUUUAAUUUAGCCAUUCCAGCACUUGUCAACCGCGGCCAACAAUUAAUAUUCUAUUCUACGAGAAGGAGUUUUGUAAGCAACUAGGAAUAUAAGAAAAUAUUUGUGGGCUGGAUAACAUAGGAAAUGCAGAGGAUCCUGUGGAACACAGGAGGUUGUUGUUGCUUCUAUGGUUCGAUCAGAAAAGGCGAAUAAUCAAUGCGUCUUUGCGAUAUCGAAGCAACUUGGCUGAGAAGACCACCACCGCCAUUCCCAUCUUGCGCACUUCCCAGCCCGAGAUUUGGAUUUGUGACCUGCCGGCCUAGCGGACCCGGGGCAGAGUUCGAAAUUAUUCGAAUUGUUUCAAAUAAAUAUUUCAGUAAUAUAAUUGUCCGAAUGAA